rnacentral:rRNA from 1 species
ACGCUCGACACCUACUGGAGGCAGCAGUUGGGAAUAUUGGACAAUGGAGGAAACUCUGAUCCAGUGACGCCGCGUGAAGGAAGAAGGUCUUCGGAUUGUAAACUUAUUUUGUCAGGGAAGAAAAAUGACUGUACCUGAAGAAAAAGCACCGGCUAACUACGUACCAGCAGCCGCGGUAAUCUGAGCGGGCUGGCAAGGC